rnacentral:lncRNA from 1 species
AGGGCCUCCAUCUGCACCUCGUACUCGCGCUUGGACAAGGCCACGUCCUUGAGGCGCUUCACCACCACGGUCACCCCGUCCUCCAGCACCGCCUUGUACGACGUCCCCAUGCUCCCCUUUCCCAGAACCUCCGCGGAAGCCCGCAGAAGGUCCUCCAGGUCGAAGCCGUAGAGCCCGUUAUCGAAGAACACCAGCUUGUUCUUCUCCACUCCCGCCCGUGCCCCCCCGAUAUCGUCCUUGGAGGACGACGUCGUGGCCGUCUCCGCCGCCCCUCCGCCGGAUCUGGGGAUUGCCGAGGCCCUCUUCGGAGACUUGGCCGGGCCUCGGCCCCGGCGCCUGCGGAAGACCAAGCAGACGAGGAGCAGCAGGAGGGCCAGCAGCAGGACGGCGCCGCAAGCGACGGAAAUCGCGAUGAUCGACGCCGUCGAGAGCUUCUUUUUCUUCUUCCUGUCGGCGGGGACCUGAGCGGGGGUCUCUUCGCCUCCCGGGGACGGCGCCGGAGAUGGAAAGAAGUUU